CCAAUAGCGUAUAUUAAAGUUGUUGCAGUUAAAAAGCUCGUAGUUGAAUUUCGGGAUCAGUAGGUCGGUCGUGCCACUGGUAUGAACUGGUCUCACUGGUUCCUCCCUCUUGACGAACUGCAAUGCUAUUAAUUUAGUGUUGUAGGAAAUCAGGACUGUUACUUUGAAAAAAUUAGAGUGUUUAAAGCAGGCUUUGGCUUGAAUACAUUAGCCUGGAAUAAUGAAAUAGGACGUUCGAUCCUAUUUUGUUGGCUUCUAGGAUUGACGUAAUGAUUAAUAGGGACAGUUGGGGGCAUUAGUAUUCAAUUGUCAGAGGUGGAAUUCUUGGAUUUAUUGAAGACUAACUACUGCGAAAGCAUUUGCCAAGGAUGUUUUCAUUAAUCAAGAACGAAAGUUAGGGGAUCGAAGACGAUCAGAUACCGUCGUAGUCUUAACCAUAAACUAUGCCGACUAGGGAUCGGAUGAUGUUAAUUUUUUAAUGACUCAUUCGGCGCCUUACG
rnacentral:misc_RNA from 1 species